GACGAACGCUGGCGGCGUGCUUAACACAUGCAAGUCGAACGAAGUGGCGAACGGGUGAGUAACGCGUAAUCAACCUGCCCUUCAGAGGGGGACAACAGUUGGAAACGACUGCUAAUACCGCAUACGGAAGGAGGGGAUUGCGUCUGAUUAGCUAGUUGGGGGGGUAACGGCCCACCAAGGCGAUGAACAGUAGCCGGUCUGCGGGUGUGAACGGCCACAUUGGGACUGAGACCCGGCCCAGAUUCCUACGGGAGGCAGCAGUGGGGAAGCUUCCGCCAUGGACGAAAGUCUGACGGAGCAACGCCGCGUGAGUGAUGACGGCCUUCGGGUUGUAAAGCUCUGUUAAUCGGGACGCGGUACCGGAAUAGAAAGCCACGGCUAACUACGUGCCAGCAGCCGCGGUAAUAC
rnacentral:rRNA from 1 species